rnacentral:rRNA from 1 species
GACGAACGCUGGCGGCGUGCCUAAUACAUGCAAGUCGAACGCAGUGGGGACGGGUGAGUAACACGUGGGUAACCUCCCAUCAGAGGGGAUAACACUUGGAAACAGGUGCUAAACCGAUACUGAUGGAUGGCCCCGCGGUGCAUUAGCUAGUUGGUGAGGUAACGGCUCACCAAGGCCACGAUGCAUAGCCGACCUGAUAGGGUGAGCGACCAGACUGAGACUGAGACCCGGCCCAGACUCCUACGUGAGACAGCAGUAGGGAAUCUUCGGCAAUGGACGAAAGUCUAACCGAGCAACGCCGCGUGAGUGAAGAAGGUUUUCGGAUCGUAAAACUCUGUUGUUAGAGAAGCGGUAUCUAACCAGAAAGCCGCAGCUAACUACGUGCCAGCCGCCGCGGUAAUAC